rnacentral:rRNA from 1 species
GACAUUACCUAUACAAGAAGCACCGGCUAACUCCGUGCCAGCAGCCGCGGUAAUACGGAGGGUGCAAGCGUUAAUCGGAAUUACUGGGCGUAAAGCGUGCGUAGGCGGUUCGUUAAGUCAGAUGUGAAAGCCCCGGGCUCAACUGGGAACUGCAUUUGAUACUGGCGAACUAGAGUUGAGUAGAGGAGAGUGGAAUUUCAGGUGUAGCGGUGAAAUGCGUAGAGAUCUGAAGGAACACCAGUGGCGAAGGCGGCUCUCUGGACUCAAACUGACGCUGAGGUACGAAAGCGUGGGUAGCAAACAGGAUUAGAUACCCUGGUAGUCCACGCCGAAAACGAUGUCAACUAACCCUUGGGNUCUUAAAGAACUUAAGUANUGGAGCAAGGGCCA